UGCGCCCGAGAGGAUUCGAACCUCCGACCUACGGAUUCGUAGUCCGCCGCUCUGUCCACCUGAGCUACGAGCGC
rnacentral:tRNA from 1 species